rnacentral:tRNA from 1 species
CCCUGGUGACUCAGACAGUAAAGAAUCUGCCUGUAAUGCAGGAGACCUGGGUUCGACUCCUGGAUCAGGAA